rnacentral:rRNA from 1 species
GUUUAAGACCAUACCACGUUGAAAGCACGCCAUCCCGUCCGAUCUGGCAAGUUAAGCAGCGUUGGGCUUCCUUAGUACUUGGAACAAAGACCAGGGAUGGGCGGAAAUUUAUUUU